AUUGAACGCUGGCGGCAGGCCUAACACAUGCAAGUCGAGCGGAGCGUCGGACGGGUGAGCAAUGCCUAGGAAUCGGCCUGGCAGUGGGGGAAAACGUCCGGAAACGGGCGCUAAUCGCGCAUACUAGCCUAGUAGCCUAGGUGGGAUGUGCUAGUUGGUGGGAUAAAGUCCUACCAAGGCGACGAUCCGUAACUGGUCUGAGAUGAUGAUCAUUCACCAUGGAACGGGGACACUGUCCAGGCUCCUACGGGAGGCAGCAGUUGGGCAUAUUGGACAAUCGGCGAAAGCCUGAUCCAGCCAUGCCGCGUGUGUGAAGAAGGUCUUCGGAUUGUACAGCACUUUAUGUUUGGAGGCGUUACCAACAGAGUAAGCACCUGCUAACUCCGUGCCAGCAGCCGCGGUAAUUC
rnacentral:rRNA from 1 species